rnacentral:lncRNA from 1 species
CAAAGAAGCAAGAAAUGGGAAUCAAAAUAAGAUCUUUAAAUGUCUCUGCCCAAAAUUCUUACAACGGAACUUCCCUUUCAACUUUCUCACAAAAACAUACUGUUGUCAUUUGGGUAGUUUGCAGCUACUGGAGAUAGAAAAGCAUUUCAGACCUUGGUUAGAGAGUCAUUCCAGCCCUUCUUCCAACUUUUUUUUUUUUUUUUUUAUUAAAUGCCUAUGUUCAACUUCCCUAGUGAAGGCUAUUUGCAUUUUGCUAUUCUCUUGACUGGUUUACUAAGGACUAGUUUAUAUAUUCUAUAAUUUCUUUUCAUCUAUCUCUAUUACAGUGCUGUUGCGGGUGAAUGUUUGCAUAUACAGAAUUACAGAUUGCUGCAAUACGACUGUUUAGAAGAUUGACCUCAGCGACUUCACUCGUUAACAACAAACUUCUUGAAAAUUUUAAGUCCUUUCAUAUUCUUAAACAAAAUUGUUAGUUUAUGACACAUAUUAGGACUAAGGACACAUUGCUACAUUUUUGCCUGAUGGUGCAUACAUUUUGGACUGACGGUGAAAUCCUUGAUGGUUCUUGGUCUCUGAGAUCAGGGUGAUCACUUUUGAGAGAUCUUUCACAGAAGUUAGAACCAAGAGCCUGAGGGGCAGAGGGUAGACCAAGCUCAGCUCUAACUGUAAACAUACUGUACAGGGUACCAAAGGAACAAAGCCUGGCUAACUGAAGGCUAUGAUGGGAUAUAAAGAAAACCCACAAGUAAAACUGCUUCUUGAUGAAAUGCUGAAAACAAAUCCAAAAAAAUUCUGGAC